GCUCCAACUCCCCGAUGGGUUUCAGCAAAGCAUUUUCAAAGGCAAGGCAAAGGAGGGGAGUCCCAGGGUAUGUGAUCAGCUCCUAUACAAGUCUCAGAUUGGUUGAUGGUAAGGUAAAGUAAAAAGUGAUGCGUCUGGAGAGCAGGGCAGAAAAUAUGGAGUCAUCUGGGACUAGAAUUGGGAAAACUGUGGACUGUUACUAAUAGAGAAGAGAUACCCGUAGUGUACUGAAUGUAAAAGUGGGCUUCAAGUCAGAAGAGCACAGGGCUGUUUUCCAUGAUAAUCACCAUGAAAGCUUUUGGGAUAAUAGAAGAGAAUGACAUCUCCAAAUAUGAUGGUACCUAAAAUGAAUGGAUGAUCCUUAUCAGGGAUUACUGAAAGACUGAAGAUUGAAGAGUAGCAAAGGAUAUUUUGUCAUGUGUGAUAGUAACGCACCUGAUUUCUGAGUAAAACAUGGCAAUGUAAGGAUAUUCAUUCUGUCAACUACAAUGCAGAGGACUCAUUUGAUUCUCAGGCCUUCUCCACCUUGAGAAGCUGGAUCACAAGCGCUAAAGCCAUUUCUGCUUCCCUGUGUACAUGUUCCUGGCUGGUUAGAUGGCUGAUAAAGUACAGUAAGCCCUUAUCCUCAGAAGGUGCAUUGCUCAAAACCUGAUGUGAAUGAAAUAUGCCAGACAGAGAAAGUCAGAGACUCAUGUUCAAUGGUCCACGUUCAAAUAUUAUCUGCACAAGAUUUCCCAUCUCACUGCCUGGGAGGUAUUUGAAGUUCAAAGAUACCAAAAAUGUGACAAAACAGAAAACAGCUCUAAAACAGAAACACAGAAGAAUUAGUAGGUGUUUUCUGGAUGAGUCAGUAAGUUUCAGACUUUCUCUACCUUUAUUUAAU